AUCCCGCACCGACCGACCAAGCCCCCAACCCGCACGAGACGAGAGCGGCGUGCGCGUCCGCGUCGCGUGACGUCUUCGCCCUCGCCUUCUUCCUUCCUCCUCUUCCCCGCUCCCUCCCCCGCCUCCCCGACCUCGCCGAAACCCUAGCCCAACUCCCCGCCGCCGGAGAGAGAGAGGAAGGAGCGGGGGGCGUCAGGAAGGGGUGCGCCGAUGGGGAAGAAGAAGAAGCGCGUGGAGAAGGUCUUCUGCUACUACUGCGACCGCGAGUUCGACGACGAGAAGAUCCUCGUCCAGCACCAGAAGGCCAAGCACUUCAAGUGCCACGUCUGCCACAAGAAGCUCUCCACCGCCUCCGGCAUGGCCAUACACGUCCUCCAGGUCCACAAGGAGUCCGUCACCAAGGUUCCUAAUGCGAAGCCUGAUAGGGAGUCCACAGACAUUGAGAUCUUUGGAAUGCAAGGAAUCCCUGCACAUGUAUUGGCUGCUCACUACGGAGAAGAGGAAGAUCCUUCAGCGAAGGUAGCCAAAGUAGAAGUGCCGCAGGUAAGGCCUGUUAUUAUGCCAAAUUCGCUAGGCAUGGCAUUUCCUCCACGGCCAACUUAUGGUGUAGCACCUCCAAUCUAUAAUCCUGCACUGAAUCCUUUGAUGGCCCGACCUCCAAUUUGGCCUACUCCACCAGCACAAGCUUGGUAUCCACAACAAGUAGCAUACCCACAACAACCAGCAGUUUCAGUUGCUCCAGUAGUUGCUGGGCUGCCGCCACAACAGCCACUAUUUCCUAUUCAGAAUGUGCCUACUCCUAUGACAUCAGCACCUGCUAAUGUACUUCAGUCAUCGUUUCCUAUGGCUCCUCCAGGAGUACCUUCACCUGUUGCACCUCAGGUUUCCCAGCCUUUGUUUCCUGUUAACACUUCCACUGUCAAUGGAGCUGCAAGUUCCCCAUUUGUAGCAUCUGUUGCACCUGGAACCAUCCCAGCAAGCUCUCCUGCAGCAGUUGGAUAUGGUGUCAAUAGCCAAGGCACUGGAGGUCUAGCUGUUGGAUCUUCACCCGCAGUAUCCAAUAACAAAGCAUCCGGUAACCAGCCAGCUACAAAUGAGGUCUAUCUGGUGUGGGAUGAUGAAGCAAUGUCAAUGGAGGAAAGAAGGUUGUCAUUGCCCAAGUAUCAGGUGCAUGAUGAAACUAGCCAGGUAAGUUGUGUUUUUUAUGUGUAAACUAUUAUUUUAGUUUCUCAAAGAAAAAGGGGUGACCUCUCUGCACUGAGUCAUAGGUAUAUUAUAUUUUGACGCCUCCAACCAAUUCUAGUGUAUGCAUGGUAAUUGUAUCAUUUUUGGUGCUGUUCUCAUAUAGGCAGUUUAUUGUAGGGUAGUAGUAGGAUAAAGUUUAAUAUUAGGCUACAUGCUUUCAAGGUUUUUCAGCUGUCAUGAACUUGGGCUUUGGGGGUGGUCCCAAUUUGCCUGGAACAAUAGUAUUAAACUUGGACUUUAUAAGCACUCGCUUGGGCAAUGGAACAAUAGAUUUUGUGUUAAGCUGGUGGUGGCUUACUGGCUUACCUCAAUUUGUUGCAUUUAGUGACAUUAUAAGCCAUACAUGUUGCGUCAUAUGCUUGUAUGUAAGGAGUGAGUGAACAUCUUGGAAGGUUUCCUGACUUCCUCUACUCUUGACUUGUUGGUUAUACACGGAUACAAACUUGUCCUUAUGUUUUCCUUAUUUGGCAAUACAAACAUUUCUUUCAUGGAUACAAUUGCAACUUUCAUUUUCACUUAUUUUUUUCUUGCACAUGAAAACUUAAAUAGUAUUAAACUUUACUCACAAGGGCAUCUUAUUCGUGAAUGUUCUGUGGGGGAUAUGAAAGUCUCAUCCGGUCAUAGCAUAUGUGAAUCUGAGAUGAUUCGUGUUCUGUGCUACCUUUUUACAUUUUUUACAAAGCACCCGCUGUGUUCAUUUCAUUGAUCACCUAUAUGCUGCUGAUUUCGCGCACAUGAGGAGUUCCAAGUAGGUAUAUACAUCGUUCUUUAAAUAGUAAGUUUUCUAUAAUCUGACAAAUCUCGUGGUGCUAUGCUAAUGACCUGAGGGUUAUCGACCAAGCCCUGGACGGUUGGCAAAUAUGUAUGUAUUUAAUUUCAAUUGAAGCAUUAUUUUUAUUCAUUGCCAAUUCACUGCAUGCAAAUAUGGGUUUGUAGCAAAAACUAGGUGCCUGAGGUUCUGCCAAUACGGUAGCAUUUAUUGUAGCUUAAUUUUGGUCGAGAAUGUGACAAGAGUUUUGCUCCAGAUGAACUCAGUCGAUGCAGCAAUUGACCGAAGAAUAUCAGAAAGUCGGCUAGCAGGACGCAUGGCCCUAUGAAGAAGCUGGGCCUUGCUUGGUAGAUGGUACUUGCAGUUGAGCGAUGGUACUUACAGCAGCGGUCCUCCUGUUCAUUUAGUUAGUCAAUGGAGUUACUUGCAGCUAUAAAGAAUGCGCUGCUUCUGACAUGUCGGGGAGUGUCGAGCUUUUGCUCUUGUAUCUUUCCAGCUGUGCCGAGGAAAUGAAGUGUUAGUCUUUAGAAGUUAUUUGGUCUGUUUUUUAUUUUACCUCACCGGAAAUAUGUUGAUGAUGACUUGCGGCAAGUUCUGCCUGAUUGUAGCGUAAAUGAUAUGCUCCUGAUGGUUUUCGUUGUUUGGAAAGCAAACAGAAAAUUGUUGCCUAUUUGAAUAAUUUGUUCCUAGAAUAUCAUGGAUGAUGCAAUCUUGGAA